rnacentral:rRNA from 1 species
UACAGAGGGUGCGAGCGUUAAUCGGAAUUACUGGGCGUAAAGGGCGCGUAGGCGGUAGUAUAAGUUAGAUGUGAAAUUUUUGGGCUCAACCUAAGAGGUGCAUUUAAGACUGUACAACUAGAGUAGAGUAGAGGAAAGCAGAAUUUCCGGUGUAGCGGUGAAAUGCGUAGAUAUCGGAAAGAAUACCGGUGGCGAAGGCGGCUUUCUGGGCUCAUACUGACGCUGAGGCGCGAAAGCGUGGGGAGCAAACAGG